CAAAAGCCUCCUGAUCUAGCAGCCAAGACUGCCCCUGACCUUUGGCCAUGUACCCCAACCCUCUCGUCUAUUGCACCUGCUGGGGCCCCUGGAACUUGGGACCACGGAAGCUAAUCAAGACCCCUCGACUACCAUGCAAGAACUCCACAGGGAGGUCCAAGCUAACUCCUCUUCUACCAGCUCCAAAAAAUCACAAUUACCUCCAACCAACAAAACCUGUUGUUUCCCCAAAAAUGAAAAUCCAUUCAGCAAGGCAAGAAGAGAGCAAUAAAUCAUUUUAUGAAGUGAUCAACGUGUCACCUGGCUAUCAACUUGUUCGGAAUCGGGAACAGAUUUCUGUCACCUUAGGGGAUGAGAUGUUUGAUAGGAAAAAGCGGUGGGAAUCGGAGAUCCCGGACAAAGGCAGAUUUUCCAGGACCAACAUCAUUUCUGACCUAGAAGAGCAAAUCUCAGAGCUGACAGCAAUAAUUGAACAAAUGAACAGAGACCACCAGUCUGCCCAGAAAUUGCUCUCCAGUGAAAUGGAUCUCCGCUGUGCUGAGAUGAAACAGAACUUUGAAAACAAGAACAGAGGAGAUGGGAAAAGAAUACAAGUAUUUGAAGAAUAUGUUUCGUACAUAUCAGGACAGUAUUUAUGAUGAAAUGGAAGAGAAGUGGUCAAAACAGAAGGCAAAAUGGAAGAAGGAUGAGAAGUUGGAGCGAGAAAAUAUCCUGCUACAGC
rnacentral:sRNA from 1 species